AAGAAAUUUCGUUUAGAGAUAUUCUUACUUUGACCUGGAAAACUUGCGGUGCUCUGACAGUCAUCUCUCUUGUGAACGGGUGGUUUACAGAUACCUACUCUCCUGUUGCUUCCGCCAACGUCUUCCCCGUUAAUCUGCAGCGUACCUAUCUCGAAGCAUGUUUGAUGAUUCCCCUCUUCUGUCGUUGUUGAAGCCAAUGGAUUUUGAGUCAAAGUUCUAUAAAGUUACGCGUAGGUUAAUUUUACACAGAGGCUAUUUCGAAAUCCCUAGUGGUUGGGCUUAAAUUUGAUCAUUGGAAGGUUAUGGUGUUAUCGGUGGCUGAAAAGGGGAAAUAGAGUGCUUCUUCCAUGUUUGUUGGCUGAGUUUGGACCCUAAAAGAGACUAAUAGGUAAUGUAAAUUUUGCUUCUGAUUUUUCCUUGUAUUUCUUUGUCAAUUAGAUAAAAAUCAGACCGUUCAAUUGCCCUCACAAUUAACAGUAUGAGGGUUUUCCUAUUUAAAAUAGAUACUAAGAUAUAAGAUGAUGUAGAGGCAUUCUUUUGCUUAUCGUUGCACAUUCUUGCUCUGCAUAACUUUCUUUUGAAAUAAAAGAAGUCACAAUAUUAUUUACCCCAUGUAAGCGAUUGGUUUUCAUAUUGCUUCUCCUGAAUGGACCCAAGUUAUAUUUUUUUGAUAGGUCUAAGUGAGUCACAAGUUUAUACUUAUACAGGCACUCGUGAUUGAUUGUACAUUGAAUUUUGCUCUCUAUCUUUGCUUCUUUUUCCUUUAUUCUUCUUCUGUGUUUCUCUAUUGGAGAAUUCCUAUUUCACAAUCAAUAUGAACAGAGUCGUGUCUAAGAAGUAUCUUACUUCUGCACCUAAGAGUUGCCUUGUUGCUCCCAACAAGGUUGAAUCCAGUUCAGGUGUAAAUGCAUCUUUUGGUGUGUCAUUGUGGGUUUUUUUGAAGUGUUUGUGCAGUAUGUCAUCUAUUCUUCUUGUGUGUAUCAUCUUUCUAUUUCAAAUAUCUUGUUUAAGAUAAAAUUGUUAAACUUCUUGCAUUACUGAUUUUUAAUUGUGAAACUAUGACUACUCAAAAGAAAAUAUCAGUCUUAUAAUAUGCUUUGCUGUGGUGAAGUCAGUCUAAUUGAUUAACUACCUCUUCGGGAGCUGCAUUCACUGGUGCAACAGCAUUCAGGUAUUUUGUUACAUAAUGAAAAUAACAACUGAAAAAUUGUGGGAACUAGGAAAUUUUGCUGCAUUGUAAUUUUUGAGGUUUGAAAAUUGUUUUUCACAUUGAAAACAUUAGAUUUCUGUCUUCCUCCUUUAUUAGCAUCUCGGAGAGAAAGAAGAGGAAGAGAAGAGGAAGUACGAUGAAAGAGUAUGAAAUAAGUUGCUCGUAGCGAUUGCGAUAGCUUAUUUGGUACAAUAUUUGUGUCUUGAAACAAGAUGUACAUGACAGUUUUUAAAAUGGGAAUAGCUAUUGGAUUGUAAUAGUAGCGUGCCCAUGCUUUCUAUAUCUAAGCAUAAAACAUGCGCUGAAAAACGUUAAGAAUUAGUUUACACCUAAAUGCUCAAAAUCUUAUUGUUUUAGAUACUAAAAUCUACCAAGAUCAAGUAAAACGGUGCAAGUAACAAAUGAACCGAGUAAAGUAAUAGAAAUAACAGUAAAUAGAAAACUCAGAUAUGGAGAGAAAGAAAGGGAGUCGUUUCAUUAUUGUUCUGCUGUCCAGUCCAAGAUGCAAGGACCCAAAGUCAAGACCUAAAGGUUGUCACAAUAUGCUCUGCUCAGAGGCAACACAUAGAAAGUUUUUUAUUCUUUGAUUUCUAAAUUUCAGUUUCCAACAUCAUUAAGUUUGCCAAAAAGUAAGUCGACCGAGCUAAUCGUAUUGUGAACUAAAUCAUCAGAAAGGAGCAUCCAUGCAUCUAGAAAGUGCCGAGUUUAAUUUCUUGAAAACUUGAAAGUGCUUAGAUAAGAGUCUGAGUUAUAAGGAGCAUCCAUGAGAAUGUUUAUCAUUUUAUUUCAAUAGUGAGUUGAUUAACAACGUAAUCCCUGUCAUGACUCUCUUACUCUCACUCUGCAUAAUAGACUCUUAUUAGACCAAACUUCAUGAUAGAAUAUUGGACUCUACUGUGUAUGUGUUAUUUUGGAAUUUAGAUGGAGCUUCAAGAAUGAGAAUUCUCUUCUUAGAGAAAUGCAUAUCUUUUUUAGAGAAUAAAUUAAAUGCUUCACUUUAUUUUAGAAAAACUAAUUAUUUAUCACCUAUAUUUCAAUACAGCUAAAAAUCUUACUCUUUUUAGGAUACACAACCUAUUGUGACUAAGAGAUAUGGAACUAAUUUUUUGAGUUUCUUGUUUCUUAAGUGAUUGAAGAGACAAAUUUGAUGUUAUACCCGUUCAGAUGACUAACAUUUUACUUUGAACAUGCUAUUGUAAAAAAGUUGUUAUUGUUAAUGAGAUUUCAAAGUUGGCUAUAGCUUGAAUAAUCUGUAAUCUGUGUUGAAAACCCCGAAAAAGGGCUAGAUAGAGAUAAACCAGAAACGAAUAUAGGAAAAAGAAGGAAACAACAUUAGCAACUUCAGUUGCAAGAAUAAUAAUCAUAUGGCAUUUCACAUAUGAUUGCUCACAGACAAGUUAAGAUAAUCUAAACUUCAAAGAAAACAGAGAAGGAGGGAGUUUGCAACUAAAGGCUAAAGAUUUAUAAAGUCGAUCAUCUAAAUUUAAAGCAUUCAAAUGGAAACAAAGUAUGUUUAAUGAGGGGUGAGAUGUAUGCAAAUAAAGAGGAAAAUUUUGAAAUUUUUUUAGAGCAUUCAAAUGGAAAUAAAUUAUGUAGAUUAAGGGCAUAGUCCUCUGCAUUUGUAGUAAAAUAGUUCUCUGGUGGAGAAGCACCAUGGUAUCGUAAGCAAGCAUAUUGUAUACUGUGGAUGCAUAUAUAUGUCGGAUGUCACACAUGCAUUGAAUUUUCUUUUUUCCACAGAAUCUGCUUAUGCUUGAGGAAUUCAACAGCAGUUGCAAUUAUAAUGGUUUCCAGAGUUUUCUGCAAACAACUAGCGUAUAGAAAAAAUGACUAAAUUGUAGUUAUGUAACAUGUAAGGUUACAAAUGUAGAAGACACUUGGGAUCUUGUGCAAUAUUAGAAACACAUUCUUCAUUUGUCCAAUAUUUUUAAAAAGUAUAGUGAUUCUCCUUGACACUGUUCACAUACAAAGUGAUUAAAAGUUUAACAUAAUCAUGUUUCUUUGGAUGUGGACUGAAUUUUUUUGACAGACAGAUGAAACCAGAAAUACGAGAGGCAGAGUACUCUCAAUGGAUAAAUCUAACCAUGUCGAUUUUGCAUGUUUUCACAUUGUGGUUCGACUCUUUCUCACUCUUUUGCAUAUGACUAUGUUUUUGCUCUCUUAUCUUGUUCUGUUAUGUGGCUGCUAUUCACAAGAGUUCAUCACUGAAGCCUCAUAUUUCAGGGAUGUGUAGCCCAUCAGUGUAAUUAAACUGACUGUGCACUAAUUUAUAUACUCUGACAAAUCCUCAUUAUUAACACAGUAUUUUCGUUUGUUGAACUCUCUUCAUCAGUCCUUUAAUUCGCGGGGAAACAAAAGAGAAGAGACUCCCAAAUUGGAUUGCUCAUAUUUUGUGCCUGGGAUUAAUUGAAGUUGGCGUACUUUUUUGCUACUCAUAGAUGUCGUGUACCGAGCUAAAAGGAAGAAAAGAAGAAAAAGAAAAAGAUUGUGUUGGAACAUAUACAAAUAAUAUAUCAGAAUAUUACAUGAUGGUUUGUAUUACGGACAUGUGCUAAGACUUAUUCUACUUUUACAUUUUUCAGAAUAACUUGUUGUCUCGGUUAUAAGGCAAAAAACUCUGCUUCUGCAGAGCACACAAAUUUAUCAGGGACCUAAUACAGCUUGUAGAAUAGCAUUUCAUUUCAAUUUGACUUUUAAUGCAACUUAAAAGUUAAUCAACUGUGUUAUUAGUUCUGCAUCAUUUUGAAUCAGGUUGUAUGGAUUUUGUUCAGAUUUGAUUUACGGUAUGUGAAGAAAAGUUCUUUACGUUGUUAAAUAAAAAAUUAAUAAGGUCCUCGGGCCCGGGCUCAGCCGGGCCAUCUCUAACUAGUAUAUUAUUUAUAUAUAGAAAAGAGAAGUUGGUCGACCAAGGACAAAAUUGACAUUUUACCUUGCCAUUUUAUUUUUCCCCUAUUUCUAUCUUUAACAGUGCUCACUAUUUCGACACAAACAAACGAUAUGGGUCUAGAAACAUCUCUCCUCUAUUCCAUCGAAACUUAGGUGAACUCUUUGAGUUCUCCUUCUUCAGAAUUUGAAGAAAAUCAUUUCGGACAUGCAGUAACAUAGUUGUGAACUUGUGAUCCUUUUAUAUGUCAAUAACUUGCUGAUCACACGGAUGAUGACAAGAUGGUUGAAGAAUCUAGGAGGUACUACACUAAAAUUUCAAGAUAAAAGAUCUAGGAGAGUCGAAAUUCUUCCUUCGAAUUGAAUUUGCCGGGUUAUAAUAACAAAUCUGAUGUAUCAACACAUGUAUGCUAUCAUAAAUCUUAAAGCUGAGAUUAGAACAAUGAGAUUACAGAUUAAAUUGACGGUAUCAUACAAAACUAACAGGUAAUCCUUUAGAGCUCAAGUUGAAUUUCGCAAGUUCUAAACUUGACGAGCCUACAGGAAACAGUGUAAGGUUCUAUAGAAUGCUGGAGUUACCAUAGAUUGAUUGGCAUAAUUGUUAUAGUCAUAGUGUAUAAUUGUGUUGUCGAGUAUUAGAUUGUUACACAGUGUAUAAUAAUUGACAUGAGGUUGUUUCUUUUGUUUAUUUAAGUUGAUAGAUGUAGUAGUGCGGGACAUAUAUUUGUUUUUCCCAUUUUUUUUCUGCAGCUUUUUCCAAAGAGCUAAAAUACAUAACUUGUCAGAAAUAUAGAAGCUUCCAUUCUUGAGAAGUUACAAAUGAAUAUGGAACGAGACCACAAACUCUGAACAUUUUCCCAUCUCAGCCCGUGCAUAUCAACAGUUAAUGUUGGCUUAAACUUGCUACUCUCGGAACACGUUAUGACUUCGCCAAAUAGCUGCAUCGUGGUUUUCUUUUCUUUUUUUUUUUUGCUACGCUAAUUGUUAUACUCCGUCCACCACAUUCGUCUCUUGCAUUCUAUUAUAUACAUAGUUGAGAUCAGUGGGAUAGAGAUGCUUCCUGAAUGGUUCAAAGAAGUCCAACUUGAGAGA